GUCCCAGACUCCUACGGGAGGCAGCAGUGGGGAAUAUUGCACAAUGGGGGAAACCCUGAUGCAGCGACGCCGCGUGAGCGAUGAAGUAUUUCGGUAUGUAAAGCUCUAUCAGCAGGGAAGAAAAUGACGGUACCUGACUAAGAAGCCCCGGCUAACUACGUGCCAGCAGCCGCGGUAAUACGUAGGGGGCAAGCGUUAUCCGGAUUUACUGGGUGUAAAGGGAGCGUAGACGGCGAUGCAAGCCAGAUGUGAAAGCCCGGGGCUCAACCCCGGGACUGCAUUUGGAACUGUGUGGCUGGAGUGUCGGAGAGGCAGGCGGAAUUCCUAGUGUAGCGGUGAAAUGCGUAGAUAUUAGGAGGAACACCGGUGGCGAAGGCGGCUUACUGGACUGUAACUGACGUUGAGGCUCGAAAGCGUGGGGAGCAAACAGGAUUAGAUACCCCCGUAU
rnacentral:rRNA from 1 species